rnacentral:misc_RNA from 1 species
UCCGGUUUGUCACCGGCAGUCUCCUUAAAGUUCCCGGCAUAACCCGCUGGCAAAUAAGGAUAAGGGUUGCGCUCGUUACGGGACUUAACCCAACAUCUCACGACACGAGCUGACGACAGCCAUGCAGCACCUGUCUCAGAGUUCCCGAAGGCACCAGCACAUCUCUGCGCCGUUCUCUGGAUGUCAAGACCUGGUAAGGUUCUUCGCGUUGCGUCGAAUUAAACCACAUGCUCCACCGCUUGUGCGGGCCCCCGUCAAUUCAUUUGAGUUUUAAUCUUGCGACCGUACUCCCCAGGCGGUCAACUUAUCGCGUUAGCUACGCCACCGAAAACACUAGGGUUCCCAACGGCUAGUUGACAUCGUUUACAGCGUGGACUAC